rnacentral:rRNA from 1 species
CGGGUGAGUAACGCGUGAGCAACCUGCCUAUGACAGUGGGAUAGCCUCGGGAAACCGGGAUUAAUACCGCAUAAAAUCGUAGAAACACAUGUUUCAACGGUCAAAGAUUUAUCGGUCAUAGAUGGGCUCGCGUCUGAUUAGCUAGUUGGUGAGAUAACAGCCCACCAAGGCGACGAUCAGUAGCCGGUCUGAGAGGAUGAACGGCCACAUUGGAACUGAGACACGGUCCAAACUCCUACGGGAGGCAGCAGGG